CCUACGGGAGGCAGCAGUGAGGAAUAUUGGUCAAUGGACGAGAGUCUGAACCAGCCAAGUAGCGUGAAGGAUGACUGCCCUAUGGGUUGUAAACUUCUUUUAUAUGGGAAUAAAACGUUCCACGUGUGGGAUUUUGUAUGUACCAUAUGAAUAAGGAUCGGCUAACUCCGGGCCAGCAGCCGCGGUAAUACGGAGGAUCCGAGCGUUAUCCGGAUUUAUUGGGUUUAAAGGGAGCGUAGGUGGAUUGUUAAGUCAGUUGUGAAAGUUUGCGGCUCAACCGUAAAAUUGCAGUUGAAACUGGCAGUCUUGAGUACAGUAGAGGUGGGCGGAAUUCGUGGUGUAGCGGUGAAAUGCUUAGAUAUCACGAAGAACUCCGAUUGCGAAGGCAGUUCACUGGACUGCAACUGACACUGAGGCUCGAAAGUGUGGGUAUCAAACAGGAUUAGAUACCCGUGUAGUC
rnacentral:rRNA from 1 species